rnacentral:lncRNA from 1 species
CCCAGCCUGUGUGAUGAGGGUUUGAUCUCCAGACCUGAUGCAUUGGAUUUGCUGAAGGGGCCAGCCUCACCUCCGCGUGCUCUCAGCCUUGGCCCCAACCCGUUGUAGUUCCCGAAGCGGGCAGGUUCUGCUUUGCUGUCGAAGAGGGUCUUCCAGAAUUCCUUUCUUCUGGUCUCCAGAGGGUAUCCUUACAGAAAGGCAUGAUAAUGACUCACUUUAUGAACUUACCAAGCAAAUACUUUUUUUUAACCCCAAGAAAAAAUUUUAAUCGAAAAUGNNNNNNNNNNNNNNNNNNNNNNNNNNNNNNNNNNNNNNNAAAAGCCUAAGGGGAAGAAGUGAAAUGGGGGUGUGGAAAGGCUGCCACUGCCCAGUAUUUUCUGGGUGGCUGGGCUCUGCAGGGGUUGUCACAUGUGCUCUGCAGCAUCCUCCCAAAUAAAACACAAUAGGGACAAGUUUGAAAAACAGCAAUUGAAAGUCAGUGUGUUCUUAUAAAAUGAAUACAUAUGUAGGGUUUUAACCCUUUCAUUACUUGAAUAAUUCUGUGGGCCUUCUGAGUUUAAUGGCCAUGUUUUUUUUCCAAUUUAUUUUCCUCCCUCAUGCUGUUUCCCCCAGUGCUGCCUAUUUUUUUUAAUAUCAUAUAUAUUUGAAUUGUUACAUAUGUAUAACCUCCAUUGAAUGCAAAGUUUUCAAUAUUAUCACUGUUAACACUUGACAUAAGUUUUCUUCUUUUCCUGGAAGAUUUGUCAUUUCUCUAGUUUAUACACAGUAUUUAUGUAUAUAAUGUUGUCACUUUCUUACAUUGUUUUGUUUUAAAUGUUGUAGGAUCUUUUUGAUUUAUCCAUUUUUAAUAAGGGGUAAAGCUGCAACUGGAAAACACACACACCACAGAAAUAAAACUGAAGGGUGUUGUUAGGAAUCUGUAAAGUAUAUUGACAGUGGUUUCAAUUGUUUAAAUGGAGACUUCUAAUCACUAGCUCCUGCCAAAUUAUGCAUUAGUAACUUCCUCCUCAGAGAAACCCCUAAAGUCUCCCAUUAGAUCUCAGUUUGAUUGAAGGCUGAUUUCUCUUUGAGACUGAAAUUCCAGAAUGUUUGUCUGCCAGUAGCUCAACCAGAGCCAGGGGGUAUAUGUGAGCAUUACAGCUGCCCAGGGCGGAAGCUGCUAAUGGAUUAGGCUGAAAGGCUGCAGGGAGGCCUUGGCCAUGGGCGGGUGCCCUUAAUGACUCCAUUUAGGACGCUGUUGCUUUGCUGCUAUUGUAGAGGUCCUUAGCAGAGGAGCACCUGCCAUAAACAAGCCUAUUUCAGCUUCUUACAGAAAACCUCUUUAGCCUGGAAUGGGACACUCUCUGCAGCUCAUCAAAACUGAAGAGGUUUGCAGAUUUGCUUCCUGAUGGCUUUGUUUGAUGUCCGUGCUGCUGAGAGAUUGACCAAGCACAGUCCUGAGAUUUAGGUUUUAGGUUCAUCACAGCACUUAGAGAGAAAGACAGAUGCACAGACUGUCAAGGUGAUGUCAGAGGACAUGACCCAAAGGAGAGAGAAAAGGUGGACCGAGGCCACUCGUAGGUGCUUGAGAGGAGCUGUGGAGCCUGUUGCCGGGUGGAGACAGUGGUUGGGUGGGACAUCACUGCCAGAAGGCAGAUUGGACAGAAACCUUCUGCUCUAAGUGUCUUUAUGGUGUAGUCAUUAUAUGUACCUGUGCUGCCCCUCAGUGAUUUCCUUAAAUGUUCGGAUGUAUCAUCCACCCAGCUUUGUGACUCCUGGAUACUUAAUGUGUUGUAAAGUGUUUUGCUAGGUGGCAUGUUCCAGUGUGAGGAAGCUUGCAAGACUGAGUUACAAAUUUCCAGGGUUCAUGCAUCCAAACUGCCCUGUCUUGUUGAGGCAGUUCCAUCACCAGUAAGUUGGGGAACGGACAGGAGACUGUGGUGGGGGAGGGAAGAGGAAGAUUUGCAUGGAGGUUGAGAGAGUGGUGGGACUCUUGCUCAUCCCUGGAGAUCACCAUUUCAUCCCUCAUAUUAAGAAGUACAUGUGGAGUUGACAGUACUGCUCCCUUUUCUCCCCACCAGUUUAAUGCUCACUCCCACUGUAUCAAAUUACAACAAAGAUGGGGGGAACCCUCUAAUGCUGUGAAGAAAAAAACUUUUCUUUAAAGAGUAGAGGAAAUGGUCUUGCUCUGCCUUUUUUUUAGAACUAUAUUUUUUUAUCAUUUAAUUUACCUGCCUAAACAAACAUCCUCUCCACAAGGUCUGUAAUUCAAUCAUGCCAUGGGAUUUUGCCAGCUCUCAAACUCCCACUGCUAAGUGUUCUUGUGUUGUUUACAUAGCCAAGCUCUGUCCAAGGGAAGUGCAUGAUGGGCUAUCAAGAACUUUCCAAACUUCAUUCUUUCCAAACUUUGUGAUAAUCUUGGGUGGCCUGUUUCCUCUUCUGUUCAUGGAAUGCCCAGGCCCAAAACAACAGGCCUGGUAGAUUGACUGAGAUGAGUAGGAAAUUUUUGACCUCUUGCUCAGUGCCUCUCUUUCUUCUGAAAACCACCAUAGUCUGACUCAAAAUUACUCUGGAAGGGGGUGUGUGUGUGUGUGUAGAGUAACUUUGUGGUGCAUGGGUUAAAAGCCCCAGGAGCAGACAGAUUUUGAGCUAUAAUCUGGAUGGUUACCUGGUCAGUAGGAAGGAGAGAAAGCCCUUUUUUGAUUUUAGAAACACUUAGGAGUAGCAUGUACUGUAGUAGACCUGCAGUACUCUAGUGUAGUAAUACUCAUCUCUCCUCAUUUUGGUUGCCUUUCAGAUCCUGAAUGUUUGGGGUCAUUCCUAACAUCUCAGCCUCUUCAGGCUCUUUAUCUAGCAUUUUCCUGGUUCUGUACCUUUAUCCCAACUGGUAUUUCCUCUUUCUUGCUUUUGGAACUACCAACGGCCCCAAGGACAGCCUGAGGAUGUCAGUCCACUCUGAGGUCCUCUGCUGCUGCAGGGCCUCAGACAGACAACGUUGUUGGAUAGACCUGAAGCUUCUGAGACAUAGCAGCUCACAGAAAUCUUCUCUCGUUCCAUUUGAGGAUUUCAGUUCUGAAGUGAUCUAGCCAUGUUUGAUAAAGAUAUUUUUGUGGGAGUUCUCUCUCUCUCUCUUUUUUUUUUUUUUUAAGAAAGCAUUAUGCAAAAAGGGUAACUUUCAAGGGCAUUUUAAAUUUUUUAAAUAAAGCCAUUCUUUGGCGUUUUUGAACAACUGUUUGUGGAUACUUUGUUUACAUUGUGAGUAUUAAAGCGGGCAUCAUCUUGAUGGCCGCUCAGGCUCCUCCUCCUCCAGGCACUCGACCCUGGCUGUCCUUUGAGUCCUCACACAGAGCAAGGCUGUUAUGGUCAGCCCUCACGGGUAAAUGUGGAAAACCUGGAGCUGACUUCCAUCUGUGUCCUGCACUCCCAUCCAACACCCUGUGUGGAAAUAGUUGUCAUUUCCUCAGUGAUGGUGUGUCUUACAGUGAUGGUUGUAAUGGUGAAUGGCUAGUGUCAUUUUUGUUCCAUUUCGUUUUGCUUUUUGAUGGCAGAUGAGAUGAAAUUUUAGCUCUUUCAGCAUCAAUCCAACUUAAAAGCAUCUUGGGCUUUGUUUUCCCCUCCAGACUAAAAGAUCAAGGCAUGUAUUAGGCAUAAAUGUAUGUGCUGCCUCAACUCAUCCCAUGCCCAUGUUAGGAAAAAGCCUGCCUGCCACCAAAGCAGGAAGCUGCACACUCCUAUCCCUUCUCCAGGGUAUGGGGUCCCUUGAUGCCAGGGAAAGCUAUUGCAAGGUGCUGCUGUACUUUUCCAGCCUGGAAGUGGAGGGUGACUGGGCCUGGCUCCUGCUAUGAAAAGAGAACCAGCCUCAUUUUCUCAGUGCCCCAGAGAUCUGGGACAGGAUUUCUAAACUGGAAUCAUCCCUCAUCAGCUUGAAGAUGCCCCAAGGGGUAUGUGGCUAGUGCUGCCAUCUGUGUCUUCACUGCAACACUGGUGGCAGCAUCCUGUCUGCACACGGAGAGCUAAUUCCCAGGGCCUAACUCCAGCUGAUGACCCAGUCCGAAGGCUGGGUAACUGACCCCGAAAUGUUUCCCAAUCAAUAAGUCCACAGGGAAUUGUUUGGUUUUUGUGUUUUAUUGGAAUUUGGUUUGCUUGGCAUAGCUUAAGGUGCCUUUUUUUUCUUUCUACUUUAUUUUGUAGGACUUGUUCUAAAUGUAGAAAACAAGUCCAAAGGACUCUCCCACUGACUGUUACCUUUGCCCCAGGCCACCCUAGACUUUUAUGCUCACAUUUUAUUAAAUAAAGCAGGUGCUCCCUGGAAUCUCUGGGACCUUUUUGAGGCAUUUGAAGCAGAAUAUAAAGAGUGGUCUCAUCUCCUUCCUUAAUCUUCCUGGUGGUUGGGAUGUUCCACUUGUAUCAUAGAUUUUUUUAUUACUGAUGUGCUCCGCUGUUUUUAAAUGUGAACUUGUGCGCAAAUGUGCAGAUUCAAUGUUCUUGUUACAGAUUGAAUAAAUUUUUAUUU